GGGGAAUAUUGCACAAUGGGCGGAAGCCUGAUGCAGCAACGCCGCGUGCGGGAUGACGGCCUUCGGGUUGUAAACCGCUUUCAGCAGGGACGAAGCUAACGUGACGGUACCUGCAGAAGAAGCACCGGCUAACUACGUGCCAGCAGCCGCGGUGAUACGUAGGGUGCGAGCGUUGUCCGGAUUUAUUGGGCGUAAAGAGCUUGUAGGCGGUUUGUCGCGUCGGGAGUGAAAACUCAGGGCUUAACCCUGAGCCUGCUUCCGAUACGGGCAGACUUGAGGAAGGUAGGGGAGAAUGGAAUUCCUGGUGAAGCGGUGGAAUGCGUAGAUAUCAGGAGGAACACCAGUGGCGAAGGCGGUUCUCUGGACCUUUCCUGACGCUGAGAAGCGAAAGCGUGGGGAGCAAAC
rnacentral:rRNA from 1 species